AGUCUUAUAUUCAUUAAUGAUAUGAAAUUGCAAAUUUUAAGGAGUAAAAUAAUUACUAAGGCUU
rnacentral:tRNA from 1 species